rnacentral:rRNA from 1 species
AACGAACGCUGGCGGCAUGCCUAACACAUGCAAGUCGAACGAUACCUUCGGGGCUAGUUGCUCACGGUUGCUUAACGCGUGGGAACCUGCCCGUAGGUUCGGAAUAACUCCCCGAGAAGUAUGCUAAUACCGGUUAAGGUCUUCGGACCAAAGAUUUAUCGCCUUUGGUUUGGCCCUCGUUAGCUUAUCUAGUUGGUAGUGUAAAAGCCUACCAAGGCGACGAUCCAUAGCUGGUCUGAGAGGAUGAUAAGCCACACUGGGAAUGAGACACGGCCCAGAACCCUACGGAAGGGAGCAGUGGGGAAUAUUGGACAAUGGGCGAAAGCCUGAUAAAGCCAUGCCGCGUGAGUGAUGAAGGCCUUAGGGUUGUAAAGCUCUUUUACACGGGAUGAUAAUGACAGUACCGGGAGAAUAAGCGCCGGCUAACUACGUG